CCUUGAAACCCUAUGGAGGGAUGUUGAUAUGAACAGGCACCAUCACAAUCCUAAUAAGGAGUUGAAUCUUGUAAUUGUAUCCCAUGGUCUAGCUAGUCAAGUUUUUCUAAUGAAGUGGUUCAAGUGGACAGUGGAACAAUUCGAGUACCUAAACAAUCUAGGGAAUUGUGAGUUUCGAGUUAUGGAAUUAGGGGCGGGUGGUGAAUAUAGCCUAGCAGUCCAUCAUACUGAUGAAGAGAUGCUAGAAUGGGGUAUGUCCCCUGAGAUGAUCGCUGACCAAAAAUGGCGAGCUAAUGCUAACAGGGGUACUUUGAAUGAUCAUUGCCCUUGGUACCUUGAUGCUUUCUUUGACCAUUUAGCGGAUUCAAAUGACAAAGAUGAUGAAGAUGUGAAGUCAAACAACUAGUAUCUCCCCUUAGCAUGACAUUGAUAAUGUGUAUUCGUUCCAAUUCUGUUGUACUGUUCAUUUGGUUAACUGAUAGAAAUGUUUGUAAGCUCUUUUCAAGUUGUUGUUACAAUUUUAUGCCCGGAGGCAUUAUCAGUGUCAAUUUCUUGUAAAUUUGAAACUUUCAAUUGUAUAACAAUCAUUUGAUAUCAAGGAUGAAGUAUGAAUUUAGUUUUUGACUGGUAAAAUUAUGAUUUUUAAACAGGAUGAAGAUUGAUUUAGUUUUGACAGGGUCAAGUUACAAGUUUUAGACCAGUUUUCACUGCUGAGGUCGUUGUUUUAACUGACGUAUAAUGGAAGGUAAUGCAGAGUUGAAAGGACUUUGCAUUGAAAUUCACCUUAUCAAGUUCUCUCGAGUCUAAUUCUGAAAACUUUGACCAAUGACCAUUAUUUUGACAUGGAAUGAAAAAUUGCCACAUAUAAUUUUUUAAUAUCUAAAUUAAAAUUUUAAGGUAUUGAAUUGAUUCAAAGCUUAUAAGUCAAUUAAACUGACUUAUAAACAUUCAAAAUGCUUAUGAGCCAAAAUCAACAAAAGUCAUUAGUAAUCGACCUCAACUUAUUAUUUCUUCAGAUUAUAAGCACUUUUAGUUAUCGAGCCUUCACUCUUAUGCAAUAGUUUGCAAACCACACAAGAGAGGUAAUUCGCACUAGGUAAACCCAGUGCGACAAGCUCGACCCAGAAAACAAAUCCCUUGCUUUCAGUGGCAAGAGAUUUCAAACUUGAGACCUCCAAUAUGAAAGUCUCAAGCCCAAACCACUAGGUUACUCGAAGAGUCAUUUUAUAAAUAAAUUUUCAAAAACAAAACUUCUAACUUCCCUCCAUCCCAUAUACACCAUUCAUCCUUUUCCUAACGAAAAUAUUUUUAUAUUUAUAAUUUGUAAUAAAGAAAGGAUGAAAAAUAAUAUGUUAAUCAUUUAUUUAUUAAAUUAAUUUUAAUACUAGAAAAAUUCUUAUGAACACGUAAUGUUUAAUAAUUUUCAUAUAUACUUCCCUGGUUGUAUAUGAGUUGAAUAAAAAAUAUCAAAUGAACGGUUGUUUUCAAACGAACUUUUUUAAGUAUCAGAUUCUUUGUAGGUGAUUUUCAUGUAAUUUCACAAAUUUGGAACUUAGCUCAUACGCUAAAAGAAUGCCGCGUGGGACAUAUAACUCUUAGCUUGACUCAAUUUUUAAUUACUCUCUAGUCAAGUCUAGUCCUUCAAUAUGCCAACAAAAACGACAUAUACGAAUAAAAAAAAGGACAAAAAAAUGUAAAUUGACUUCAUUAAUUAAGGAAGUCUUUUAAUAAUUCAUUGUAAUUAUUUAUUUGCUAAAAGCUUAUGUGGAACUGUAAACAUAUGUAUAAUUAAUUAUCUAAUGCAAAUAUAAAUGAAAACUUUUCACGCAUGCAAUGUAGUUGUAUAAUUAAUAAGGGAAACAUACUUUAUUAUUUAUGGUAAAUUAACAGAAGGAUAUUCUCUUAUGAGUUAAUUAAUUAUCGUAAUUAAUUUUUUCCAUCUUCUAAAGAAAAUGACUUGAAAAGAUGUAAUUAACUUGAAUAUCUAAUUAGUUAAGGUAACUUCAAUUAAGAAACUUUGCCGUAUGUUUAGGGCCACAAUAUAAUUCUCCAUGCAGGACAACGUAAAAUUAAUCAAUAUUGCGACAGGUCUCCUACUUGUCUACCACAAAAAAAAAAAUUAAAAAAAAUAAUGACACAGAAGAUGCCAACAUGAGCAUGUGAGGAGGUUCCGAUAGUGCAGUGCAGUGGUACGUCGUAAGGGAUUUUGAAUUUGAGUCUUAGUAUAAAAUUGUUUUUGAUAAAGAAGGUUUUAUUUCUAAAUUAGUUAAAUUUUCUAAUAUAAAUUCAAAUUAGUUGGACUCUAAAAUAAUUAUCAAACACUGAGUUAAGAAAAAGAGAGGAACAUGUGGGGAAGUUCUUGGAACGUUACAUAUUUUGUUCUCAUCAGAAUAUUUAGGCAUUAUUAUUGUAUUCGUUAAGAGAGCAUGUUAGACUUUACUAGUUCUUUAAAGGAUAUUCGUAAGGUAUAUUGUUCAAUAUAAACUUUGUUUUGUUGGACAUAUAUAAAUUAUAUUUAGUAUGAUAUUUUCUCAAUUUAUAUGAUAUUUUUUCUGAUAUAUUGUUUCAAUUAAAAUGACGUCUUUUUAUAUUUUAAGUAUUUUUUUAAUUUAUCAUUAAUUAAAUGAAUUAUAGAUAUAAAAAUUUCUAUGACUUACUUACAUCCAAGUUUAAUAACUUCUUUUAACAUUUCACAUCAAAUUAAACAAGAUGGAUAACUAUUUUUUAAGCCUUGUUUGCGAGGAAAACUUAUACUACUUACUUUUCAUUUUACGAUCUCGACAUUUUAUAAUAUGUUAGUUAUUAUCAAAUUGAAAUUUAUGAUAUAAAAAGACUUACUAUACGUAAGACUAUUACAAGUCAUUUAUUUAAUUGUAUUCAUAUCUUUUAUUCUGUGCAUUGAAUAUAAACUCUGCGAAUAUUAUAGGUCUACGAAGACUCGGAUGCUCAGUCAAAGUUGCAUCACCUUCAUUUUCAAACUAUACAAAAAAAAAAAAUUAAAAAAAUCUAUAUAUGAGAAAAUGAAAAAUAGUCUUAUAUAUGUGAGAAUAUGUAUAAAAUAGUCCCUAAAGUUUAAUUUUAAUAGUUUUGGUUCUUUAAGUUUAUCAAAGGUUAAUACUUUUGAUUUCGUCAAAUAUUUAACGUACUUAAAAUGUUAAUACUUUUGAUUUUGUCAAAUAUUUAACGAACUUUAGUAAUUUGAUGAGAUAUACGAAGUAUUUUUUAAUCAUAAGAGUAAGAAAGUCUCAUGAAAUCCUAAAAAUCGCAAUAUAAAAAACUACACUAGAUAAAAAUUGUACAAAACAACACACCAAAUUCUAGAAAGAAACCAAAACUUACAAAAAUAGUAACUCCAAACGCAAUUCCCACUAAAAAAAAUAUUGCUUUCAUAGUUUCCGUCAAAUCAGACAAAAAGUAAUACCAACUCUUUGCAAACUUUAGGGACCAAAACAGUUGAAAUCAUCAUACUUUAGGGACUAUUUAUCAUUUUUUUCACUAUUUGGCCUUUUUUCAUGUAUAUAAACCAUGUGAACUUCGUGCAUGAUAUAUCACCGAAAUAACACAAACAUCAAUAGAAGUUGAAAGCAUGCUAGGGUUCUGAAAGUGUUCUAGAUUCAUAAAACAACUCUCUCUGUCACUGUCGCCGGAGAUUAUUAUUUCCCGAUCUGAUCGAAAGCAGGUCACCGGGAACAAUGGCGUUAGCUUUCGAUGAAUUCGGAAGGCCGUUUAUAAUACUAAGGGAGCAAGAACAAAAAACUAGAUUAAGAGGCCUCGAUGCUCAGAAGGCCAACAUUUCUGCCAGAAAAGCUGUUGCACGUAUUUUACGUACCUCACUUAGUCCUAAAGGCAUGGAUAAGAUGCUUCAGAGCCCUGACGGCGAUGUCACCAUCACAAAUGAUGGUGCCACCAUUUUGGAGCAGAUGGAUGUUGACAAUCAGAUUGGAAAGUUGAUGAUUGAGUUGUCACGAAGUCAAGAUUAUGAAAUUGGCGAUGGAACCACUGGAGUUGUUGUCAUGGCUGGGGCACUGCUAGAACAAGCUGAGAAGUUGUUAGAACGUGGUAUUCAUCCUAUUUGGAUUGCAGAAGGGUAUGAAAUGGCUUCAAGGAUUGCAGUUGAGCAUUUGGAGCGUGUAGCACAUAAGAUUGAAUUCGGUCUGAAUGACAUUGAGCCUUUGGUUCAAACUUGCAUGACUACUUUGUCAUCUAAGAUUGUGAAUAGAUGAUGCAAACGUAGCAUGGCUGAAAUUGCUGUUAAAGCUGUUUUAGCAGUUGCUGAUUUAGAGAGGAAGGAUGUAAACCUGGACUUGAUCAAAGUUGAAGGGAAAGUUGGUGGGAAGUUAGAGGACACAGAGCUAAUUUAUGGUAUUAUAGUUGACAAAGAUAUGAGUCAUCCACAGAUGCCAAAGCAAAUUGAGGAUGCGAAAAUUGCAAUUUUGACAUGUCCUUUUGAGCCUCCUAAGCCAAAGACUAAGCAUAAGGUUGACAUUGAUACUGUGGAGAAGUUUCAAACUUUACGCCUACAGGAGCAGAAGUACUUUGAUGACAUGGUCCAGAAGUGCAAGGAUGUUGGUGCUACCUUAGUUAUCUGCCAGUGGGGUUUUGAUGAUGAAGCUAAUCACUUAUUAAUGCAUAGAAAUUUGCCCGCUGUUAGAUGGGUAGGUGGUGUGGAAUUGGAGCUGAUAGCAAUUGCCACAGGUGGGAGAAUAGUACCAAGGUUUCAAGAGUUGACAUCUGAAAAACUUGGCAAGGCUGGUAUUGUUCGGGAGAAAGCUUUCGGUACAACAAAGGAUAGAAUGAUUUACAUUGAGCAUUGUGCAAAUUCAAGAGCAGUAACUAUAUUUAUCCGUGGUGGCAAUAAGAUGAUGAUAGUGGAGACAAAACGUAGUAUCCAUGAUGCUUUAUGUGUUGCUAGAAAUCUUAUUCGCAACAAUUCAAUUGUGUAUGGUGGUGGUUCAGCAGAGAUUUCUUGCUCAAAUGCUGUUGAAGCGGCUGCUGAUAAACAUCCAGGAGUUGAACAGUAAGCAAUCAGGGCAUUUGCAGAUGCUUUGGAUUCUGUCCUAAUGGCACUUGCUAAGAACAGUGGUCUUCAGCCUAUUGAAACUCUAUCUGCUGUUAAGUCUCAGCAAAUUAAGGAGAAUAUUCCCUGCUGUGGAAUAGAUUGUAAUGAUGUUGGCACAAAUGACCAUAAAUCCUUGAACAGGAUUUCUAUUGAAUCCCAGCCAAUAUACAGAAAGAACCAAACCUUAUUCUGCUUUAUAUCUACUAGUGUAGUAAGCAUCUUUUCCAAGGCAGUAUUAAAUUCAAUCUUAUGCUUGAUGACACUCAACACCGCCGAAGAAAUUCAUAUCUUCAUGGCAACAAUCACUAAUAUUUUUACGAGAGAAAUUCUGAAGGAUGACUUGAACUAAUAAUAUCACCUUUUAAAGGAUAAAAGUGUCUUCUUUCCUUCAAUACUCAAUGUUGGAAAGGUUCCCCAAGCUUUACUAGCUCAUAGGAUGGACUUGAAUUUUGUUUUCUGAUCGUAAUUCUGCUUAUCAAAGAUCCAUGUCUAGUUUAAAAUUAAAGUUUGGUGUGUUUAUAGCCUUAAUCUAAAUUAUAAGAUCGUCGGUUAAAACUAAUUCAAAUUUUUUGAGACCAGAAUGAAGUUGCUGACUUAAAUGGAUGAUAGUGAUAUAAUUCAAAUACUUAUUAUUUUAUACACACUAGUGAUAUAAUAAAGACUGAUUUCUUUUACAUGUGUCCACCAAAAAUCCUUCUGUUAUGGUAGUAGUUGGUUUCUUUAAUUUGCUAUUUGAGCAAAAUGUUACUGGUUUGUUCAGUGCAUUGAAUCAAUGAGGAUGCAUUUGAAUUAAGCUGCAAUUCAGAAGAGUGAAGUUUGAUACUUAUUUUCAUUUGUAAAAUUUUGUAAUGCAGAUUUCCUUGAAACUCUAUGGAGGGAUGUUGAUAUGAACAGGCACCAUCACAAUCCUAAUGAGGAGUUGAAUCUUGUAAUUGUAUCCCAUGGUCUAGCUAGUCGAGUUUUUCUAAUGAAGUGGUUCAAGUGGACAGUGGAACAAUUCGAGUACCUAAACAAUCUAGGGAAUUGUGAGUUUCGAGUUAUGGAAUUAGGGGCGGGUGGUGAAUAUAGCCUAGCAGUCCAUCAUACUGAUGAAGAGAUGCUAGAAUGGGGUAUGUCCCCUGAGAUGAUCGCUGACCAAAAAUGGCGAGCUAAUGCUAACAGGGGUACUUUGAAUGAUCAUUGCCCUUGGUAC
rnacentral:lncRNA from 1 species